UACGGGGGGAGCAAGCGUUGUUCGGAUUUACUGGGCGUAAAGGGCGCGUAGGCGGCCAGCACAAGUCAGUUGUGAAAUCUCCGAGCUUAACUCGGAAAGGUCAACUGAUACUGUGCGGCUAGAGUGCGGAAGGGGCAACUGGAAUUCUUGGUGUAGCGGUGAAAUGCGCAGAUAUCAGGAGGAACACCGGUGGCGAAGGCGGUUCUCUGGGCCUGUACUGACGCUGAGGAGCGAAAGCGUGGGGAGCGAACAGG
rnacentral:rRNA from 1 species